AUACGGAGGGUGCGAGCGUUAAUCGGAAUUACUGGGCGUAAAGCGCGCGUAGGCGGAUAAUUAAGUCAGAUGUGAAAUCCCCGGGCUCAACCUAGGAACUGCAUUUGAUACUGAUUAACUAGAGUAUGGUAGAGGUGAGUGGAAUUUCCGGUGUAGCGGUGAAAUGCGUAGAGAUCGGAAGGAACACCAGUGGCGAAGGCGACUCACUGGGCCAUUACUGACGCUGAGGUGCGAAAGCGUGGGUAGCAAACAGGAUUAGAUACCCUAGUAGUCC
rnacentral:rRNA from 1 species